rnacentral:rRNA from 1 species
UACGAAGGGGGCUAGCGUUGCUCGGAAUCACUGGGCGUAAAGCGCACGUAGGCGGGUUCUUAAGUCAGGGGUGAAAUCCUGGAGCUCAACUCCAGAACUGCCUUCGAUACUGGCGACCUUGAGUCCGGGAGAGGUGAGUGGAACUCCGAGUGUAGAGGUGAAAUUCGUAGAUAUUCGGAAGAACACCAGUGGCGAAGGCGGCUCACUGGCCCGGUACUGACGCUGAGGUGCGAAAGCGUGGGGAGCAAACAGG